rnacentral:lncRNA from 1 species
GCCUCUUGAAGAUAUAUGCCGCUGUGGGCGAGUAGUUCAACUGGAGUUUUCACCUAGAUCAUUCAUGUCUCCACUAUCCUUCUCCAUAUUUUAAACACCACCAUAUUUCUGGUCUGCACUGUACUACUUAAGAAAAUCUGUCUGCUCUUCUCUCAUGUGAAGCAUUGCCUGCUCCUGACCUUUGGCCUUCCUCUUGAUCCACAUGAGCAUAAGGAAGUGAGAGGCCAGAUGCAGACAUCAGGAGGAUGCCAGAAUAGACUGGACCAUGGUCGUUCAGCAGAUUCCAGCCAUUUUAUACCCAAGGACCAACU